UGGCAGUGAAAAUAAUUCUCCAUUCCUAAAUGCACGUGGAUCAUAAAAAAAAAAUAUCAAACGUGGAUUAAACUAUACACAUAUUUUUUUCUAUUGGAUGUUAUGGAACUAAUUAUCAUAAUUAAUUUUUGGUGGGCCUCCUGUCUUUUUACUUUUUCUUUUUAUUAUUUUUUAUUUUCUUUCUUUAGUUUCUUCUUUCCCGCCUUCUCACUACUCACCAAAUGGCUCCAUCAUUACCUGACUUCCGCUAACUUUACCUGUUCUAUGAAAAUAAGGUCUUCAUCCCAUUUAAAAAUUUUAGCGAGGCUUUGUUGGAAGAGAAAAGAUAUAUGAGAGAUGAGGUUACUGUGUUAAGAACCUUAAAAACCUCUCCGACCGGAAAUAUUUGCCAAUGAAGUCCUCCAUCUUCUUUUUAGUUUUAAUGUUUAGGUUUUGGCAAGGGUUUUUUUAGGUAAAAAGAUUGGACUAAUUGACGAAGAAAUUGGAGAUAAGAAAAGGUUGCCGGAAAACUUUUUUUGGCCAAAAGCUUACCGGUGCUUCUUUGUUUGCAAUCGAACUUUACAAUUUUAUCCAAUUAUUUAUGUAGAUCUGUAUCUCUCUUUUUCAGAGAAAGACCUUUUCUUUUAGGAGAAGGUAAAGCAUGUGGGUGAGUUUGUUUUGGGGGAGGGGUGUAAAGAAGAUAAGUAAGGAACUUUUGUGGAAAAAAAAUUAAAAAUUUUAUGACGUGGAAGGUAUGUGACGCGAGUGUAUUUCACUGCUCAAUUCAGGAGAGAUUUUGGGUCCGGCAAGGAGGUAUUAAAUUUACCUCGGACAAGUAUAAGGAGGUAAUGGACACCCGUAAAGUUUAAGUGUGAAACUGAUUUUUUCGCGCAAGUACAGGGUGCAUCUUAUGUAUUAUCUCAUUUACAAAAGCUUACAUACAUUCAUGAUUCAUGGUUGUAGCAGUAUACUACCCUAGUGGCUUGUCUAUGAUAAUCAGUUUAAAACUUGUGCAUUAUUAUCUCUUAUGUUAUGCCUUUGGUUUACCAAUAUUAUCUGUUUUACAUACUCAGUACAUCUUUCGUACUGACGCCCUUUUUCUUGGGGCACGUUGUUCAUGCCUACAGGUACAAAUAGACCUGGUAACGUCCCUCCCCAGUAGGGUGUUUAUUCCAACUAUUGGUCACUGCACUCCACUUCUUCGGAGUAGCUGUCCAGAAGUCAAUAGGUACUGGAGUACAUAUUUCGGUUGUUUU
rnacentral:lncRNA from 1 species